CUUGACCUCAGGGCCUCUCAGCCUCCUAGAGGUGGGAAGUGCUGUGAGAGUAUUGAGAAGGGGACACAGAAGGAAAGCCAGGGAGGCCCUAACCCAGCCUCCUGGGUUUCUGGGGAGUGGUCAGGGAAGGCUUCCCAGGAGAGGCAUCCCCUGAGCUGAGUUUUGAAGGAUACAAAAGAGCUGGCCAGGGGAAUUUGAGGGAGAAGCAUUCCUGGUGGAGAACAGUGCACACCUGUGUAUCCCGUGGUGAGAGAAAGGACGUUGCUGUUUCUCCACACCUUGAAUCUGGACUUGGCCUGGCUGACUUGCUUUUGCAAAAAGGGGCAUCAAUAAACACAAACAGCAGGUUGAAAAGCCCUAGCCCUUUCCAGUACUGGGAACGCUGCAGGCACCACCACGUGGAUAAGUCUGAGCUGGUCUCUUGGAGGAUGAGAGACCAUGUGGAGUGAGGCCUCAGCCAUCAAGUCCUCCCCGCUGUCCCAGCUGAGACCCAGACAGGUGAAUGAGGCCACCUGAGACCAUCCAGCCCCAGUAGAGCCUGUCGAGACAGGAAGAACUGCCCAACCAACCCAUGGAAUCAUGAGACAUAAUAAACGUUUGCUGGUGGAAGCCACUGUAUUUUGGGAUGGUCUGUUAUGCAGCAGAAGCUAACUGAUACGUGGGAGGAUGGACUCCAUCAGUGAGGGGUCUUUUGUGCUUGGCUGGGGAGUCUGAAGUUUAUCACUGUGACUAUGAGAAUAGACUGUGGGACACAGGAUGAAAUCCUGGCUCUGCCACUUAUUCACUGCGGGACCUUGGGAAGUUCACUUUACCUUUCUGUAUCUCUCAUUUUUCAUAAGCUACAGAGGGA
rnacentral:lncRNA from 10 species